GGAGAAAGAAGGAGGGGGAGAGA
rnacentral:piRNA from 1 species